CUCCCUCGUUGCUGACCCCAGGUUCGAUAGUGCCAAUGAGGCACCACCUCGCCAAGAACCAACUUCGAUGAAGCGACGGGCGGUGUGUG
rnacentral:rRNA from 1 species